ACACAUGCAAGUCGAACGAGAUGCGUAUUGGAAAGCUUCGGCCGGAAGAUGCGUUAUCUAGUGGCGGACGGGUGAGUAACACGUGGGUAACCUGCCUUAUGGAGGGGGAUAACAGAGAGAAAUCACUGCUAAUACCGCAUAAGCACACAGUACCGCAUGGUACAGUGUGAAAAGAUUUAUCGCCAUAAGAUGGACCCGCGUCUGAUUAGCCAGUUGGCAGGGUAAAAGCCUACCAAAGCAACGAUCAGUAGCCGAUCUGAGAGGAUGACCGGCCACAUUGGGACUGAGACACGGCCCAAACUCCUACGGGAGGCAGCAGUGGGGAAUAUUGCACAAUGGGGGAAACCCUGAUGCAGCGACGCCGCGUGAGUGAAGAAGUAUUUCGGUAUGUAAAGCUCUAUCAGCAGGGAAGAUAAUGACAGUACCUGACUAAGAAGCCCCGGCUAACUACGUGCCAGCAGCCGCGGUAAUACGUAGGGGGCAAGCGUUAUCCGGAUUUACUGGGUGUAAAGGGAGCGUAGACGGAGUGGCAAGUCUGAAGUGAAAACCCUGGGCUUAACCUGGGGACUGCUUUGGAAACUGUUAAUCUAGAGUGUUGGAGAGGUAAGUGGAAUUCCUGGUGUAGCGGUGAAAUGCGUAGAUAUCAGGAAGAACACCGGAGGCGAAGGCGGCUUACUGGACAAUAACUGACGUUGAGGCUCGAAAGCGUGGGGAUCAAACAGGAUUAGAUACCCUGGUAGUCCACGCUGUAAACGAUGAAUACUAGGUGUCGGGGAGCAAAGCUUCUCGGUGC
rnacentral:rRNA from 1 species